UUUUUAAUAUGUCCCUGACACAAUGCAGCCCUCAUCUGAUUGAUUGCCAGCCAGGAAUUCUCAUCUGUUUAGGCCCUUAUUGAGAUUUCUUUGAUGGAAGUUUUCUUCUAGUGAGGGAAACUCACUGUUUAGUCUUCAGCCCAGUUAAGUGACCACAAAAGUCACCAGUCAUCUAGGCUACCCGCAUCAGGGCAAUCCUUAUAUGUGCAAGUGUUGCCUGCCUUGCAAAUAGCACGAGGAAUACAGAGGGCGACACUGUGCUCCCCCUUCAAUAUAAUGAGCCUGCUGAGAGUCUCAGUGCGUCUUCUAGGAAUAUGACUGUUUUUCACUGUCAUAUCAAACACGUGUUACAUCCAGAGAGGUGGACUUGAGUCAAAUAAAUGACUUGAGACUCAACUUGGACCUGAAAGUAAAAGACUCUUGCCUCGACGUGACUUGAAAUAAAGCAAUCAAAGAUUAUAAUACAAACUUAAUUCAUUGUUUCACUUUUCUAGCAGGUUAGAUUAAACCACAUACUGAAAAUGAGAAUCUGAGAACUUGCUCAUGAAAAGAAAUGGUUUGAGCCCCGGGGGACCAAAUGACUUGAGUCACAUGUCUGUUUACAUUUCAUGACCUCAAUGUUUUCACUGAUGCUUACACUAAGUACCUGCUGUUACAGGCCUGUCUUAUAUGUUAUUAAUUGAUAAAAAAUGUACAUUUUUCAAUUUUAUAUAAUUCUGACUAUUUCCUUACUGUGACAUAAAUAAUAAACAUUUUGCCAUAUCACCGUUUAAAA